rnacentral:misc_RNA from 1 species
UACGGAGGGUGCGAGCGUUAAUCGGAAUUACUGGGCGUAAAGCGCGCGUAGGCGGUGUGCUAAGCUGGCUGUGAAAGCCCCGGGCUCAACCUGGGAACGGCAUCCGGAACUGUCAGGCUAGAGCGCAGGAGAGGAAGGUAGAAUUCCCGGUGUAGCGGUGAAAUGCGUAGAGAUCGGGAGGAAUACCAGUGGCGAAGGCGGCCUUCUGGACUGACACUGACGCUGAGGUGCGGAAGCGUGGGUAGCAAACAGG